UCAGUGAUUCCAACAACUACACAAAGCAAGCUGGAACAAGGAAAACAAAAGCAUUCUUCCAAAUAUAAUGUAUAACAUCGGGGAACACAGGCACACCAAGCCAUACAUGAUGAUGAAUGCACAUGUACCACCUGAGUGCUUUAACACCAGACUUCCUAGGGCUAUACUGUUCAUAACAUAGGUGUGAAUCAUUCACCACCAUGGCAAUCAAGCUGAGAAGAAACGCUUCGGCCCCUGGGGCACGUACGGCCCCCACAAGAGGCAGCCGCCGCCCGGGCAGCCCCAGCUCCCUCAGGGGCACCGCCCGCCGCUGGAGGGCGCCAACAGCGCGGGAAGCCAUGGCCCCACCGACCACCGCCGCCCCUCACGAGGCAGCAACGCGGCCCCCCGCCGACCGACCGCCCCCCGGGGGGUGGUCCGCGGACCCGAGCCAACCGACUGCCCCUCAGGGAUGCCGCGGCCCGCAGAGCGACCGCCCUUCGCGGGGGAGCGAGGAGGAGUGCUGUAUGCUCAAAGCCAUUUGUAUCCCAGGGAAGCGUCAGCGCAAGAAAAGAAGGCAGGGUGCUCCAUGGGCUAGAAAAACUUUUAUUCAAAGCUGAACUUCGGCAAACUUCUCCCCAGUGGGUCACAAGUCCACAAGACACUGCAAGGCAAUCUGUCAUCGCACUGAAAGGGCAUACUCGUGACCAGAAUAGCUGGAGUCAGUGUGAAAACACAGCCUUUAGGCAAAGUUGAACACAUGAGCUGGCAAACACCUUCUGGAGACAAUGAACUCUAAUUAGAACCAAGGAGCUGGCCACAUCUCAAAGGCUUUUUGAAAGAAAGGGAAUAUUUCCUGAAUGGCUCAAGUGCGUGGCAACAUGAUGUAAUUCAUAACAUAAGUGCAAUUCGUGGAUGUUCCUCUUAUCCUGAAGCUUGACAGGAUGUGCAACUACUAUGAAUGGACUGGUGGUAUUUCAGCAGGGAGGCAGUGUUCCACUGUGCAGCACCAGCCCUGAAACGCUGAAGAUGUGCCAGACUUGGGCAAUAAAAGGGACCUUGUUCUGCUUCAGCUUCAGCCUUGUCCAGCAUCAUGCAGUGACACUUGGAGAUCUUCCAAGAACUUGUGUCACAGCUUCUGGUGGAGCAGAGGACAAAGUAACCUAACUACUACCCUGCUUUGUGCUGUAACAAAGCUGUUCUCAUGCAAGCCGGUUUAGAAAGUUACUACUGAAUACAAAAGGCAUUUAAAAAUAUCUCUAUCUAAAGACAUAAAUGAAAUGCAUGUUGUUGUUUUUUUCCACCACUAAAUUUGAAUGAAGAAGAAUACAAGAAGCAGGAGAUGAAAUUUGGUUUAAGAGAAUACCAAGGAAGGAGGAAAAGGUCUGAUGGUUUGACAGUUUUGAUGCAGUCUGGGAAGUAUGUUAACCGUGAGGCUGCUGAACCUAACUGUUUGCCAGCCUUCCCUCAAGAACCUGUCUGGUUUUUUGUCUUACUGCUGAAGUUCUCGCCAGCAGAUUCCCUGCUUUUUGGAGACUGCACGUGGCAAGACCCUUAGAGCUCCACCCUCCAUCUUCAGACUGUCCUCGGUGUUUCUCUGCGCAGAAGGACAGUUCUAAGUUCUAUUUUAGAAGGACCCAGGUGCAUUCAGCAGCUGUACAGUAGCUUUCUGUCCACCAAGUUGUUGUGUUUCUGUGGAAGUAUUUUUGAAAUGAAAAAGUGUUCUGCAUUUUUCACUUUCUAUUUAAAAAACAGGGGCUGCUAAGGCCUUGACCCCGUAAACCUUCAUACGGAUAAUCCAUGAUUACCUCACUUAUGCUAGAGCUCCUUAUGCUCGCAGAUUACUUGGAAAACAUAAAUCAUUUUGAAUAUCAGUGGUGGAAAAAAAGCAAUCCAUUAGUGAAACUGCUAUCGUAACUGAAUCCAGGAGGCACUGUAGAGAGCCCUAUAGACUUCUGCUGACUUCAGGAACAGGCUUGGGAUCUUACAGAAGUGCUGCUUACGGUCCUAGGGAACAGUGGGAAAGGAAGAAAAUAGUGACAAUUUUGUUAUCAGAAAGAAACCCACAAAUUUCAUUUAAAACAAAAUUAAAAGAGAAGUCACGUACUCUGGGAUAAAGGAGAAAGGAGAAAGGAAUUUUGCAGUAACCUCUUCUCUCCUCCCAAAUCCCACUGUUAAUCAUCUGCCAUUAAUGGUUUAUAACCAGAAAAGUAGCAAACUGGGUUAAAAAUAUAUACAGAACAGCACCGGUUCACAGCAAUGGACAGCAAGAGUGUGAGAAAAGCAAAGAUUUUCUCUGAUAAAAUUGCUUCCAAGUCAGGGAAUCCAUCAGCAUGAGAAAACAAACAGCUUUACUGCUGCUCCCAAACAUGAAGAAUUUCAACAUAUGGCCACAAGAUAUUACUACAUAAAGAAAAACAAUUUGAAGUUAUUGCAGUCAUAUACAUAUUCCUACAGGGAAAAGUAGAAAUAGGCUCAUGUGGCUGUAUGAGAUUCCCCAGCACUUUGUAGAAAUUGUAACAUGGUGAAGAGCUUCAGUUAAGAGGGGAGGAUGAAACAAAACCCUUAGUCCUUUAGCUGCCUCAACCCCUCUUAUUCCCUUAAGCAAGCUCCAAGCUUGAUCCCAGCCUGAGCCUCCCUCCCUGGCCCCUCGGGGCUGGCAGCCUUCCUGCUGGAGGCUGGGAGCAGGCAAUGUGUUACGCAUGGCACUGGUGUGCAGGAAGUCUUCCCUCUCUACCCCAAACACUUAAAAGGAAACAGGCUGCAAUCUGCUUGUCAUGCAUGUUCCACUUGAUGUCUCGCACUACCCAAAAGCGUGGCAGAAUAAAAUACUUGAGCUUUUGAGAUGUGUUUUUUGCUAUCUGUACAAGGAAAUUAAAAGAUAACUUCGUCUGCUUUCUAGCACUCACAAGCAUCUCUGGCCACUUUGUCUGUCUGUCAAUAGAAAUAACAUACAGUGAAAGCUCUGAGAAAUGCUUUCCCAGCACCAGUUUGAUAAGGGGCUGCAUGGACAGGGUCCUUGAGAAGAAAGAUGGGAUAGCGGGGAAUACCAUGUCCAGGCUGUAGCUAUGGGAAGCACAGCAAUUCCUUUGUGACCAGCGGCACCAUCCUCAGAGCUCAAUGUGAAACCAGACAGGUCAUCCAGCAGGUUUUUAUGUUUUCCUCUCACCUGAGUAAGCGAUGAAGGAGACUUCCUGGGUUGUGGCUUUGUAAUCUCUCUCUCCUCUGUUUGUAGGCAGGUGCUCAGACAUGGGUAUAUAUGUGUGAGUGCAGGGAUGGUAGGGCAGCCCCUCCUCGGAGUCUCUGGGACUGGAAAUACUUGGAAGCUGCUGUUUCACUGCAAAAGAAGAAAAAUCUCUGGCCUUCAGGGCCAACAGAUACUCAGGCACUAACAAGCAUAGCUCUGGCUUCUGAUAUUUAUAACAUCAAGCUCUGUAACGACAGCACUCUCACUCUGUGUUGUUUGCUCUUGUUUGCUCUUUACUAUGAUUGAGAAGAACAACUGAUCUUAACUAGUUAAAAUAUUAUACCCACCAAUUCACUGCUUAACAAUUCUCCUGCAGUAUCAAAGCAGUAGCAUUCAACAGCAGAUAAAGUGUCACCAGGCCAGAGGAGCUUCAGCUCCCUCAUAGCUGGAUAGUGUUGCCCAUUCAGAGGACAGCAUUUUCAGACAAUCUGAAGUCAUCAACAGCUGCCCCACUUCACCUGUCAACAAUUCAGCCCCCUUGAAAUGUCAAAUCCUCUUUAAAACAACCCACUUCAGCUCUAAGAAUGUAAUUAAAAUCUCUUCUACUUUCUGUUAGACCAGCGGCCCUCGGAAAUCAGAUAGAGACCUCUCAUGACCCCAUGCUUAGGCCAAUUUUCUGAAGAAAAGCUGCCAAAUAAAAUAGAGGUCUGUGGAUGUCUUGUUAGCUGUGUUCCUGAUACUCCAUUCCACUACCUUCUUAAAGUAUUGCACUAUUUAAUGGGUUGUAAUGAUACGAGCCCUUCAAGGACUGUUUUAGUGGUCCAUAAUCCUACUGGGACUGUGCAGAAACAACUUUCACCCAGUUUGAAAAGAAUGGGGAACAAAGGAAGAAGAAUGCUCUUGGGCUUGUGCUAUUACACAGGAUGCUUUGAUUUUAAAUAUUUUUGAGAAGUAUCUGCAGUGUGCUGCCCAGUGAAAGUGUAAAAAACCAUUUCAUAAGUCAGUUUGAAUUAGCAGCACGUUGAGUCCUCCAGGCAAAGAAAUACUUUAUGGUUUAUCUGCAUGAUAAAGUAUCAUUAAAAGAAAGACUUAACUGAAGAUUGCUAUCAGUGAAUGACUGACAAUAAGAUGAAAGAUUGAUUUGAUCACAGGAAAUGCAAACAAAUUAUACCUCUAGGGGCUCGGUGAAAAAUGGGGCAGAAACUGACAGUUUACGUGAUUAAAAUAAAUCACCAUCAGAUCCUGGAGACGGAGCAGCUGGGAGUCAGCACUCCCCUCAGUUGUGCUGAGUUUACCUUUGUGUAAGUUCAGACUUUCACAACCUAAGUGAGAAGAAAGACAUAUGCCAAAUGCACACUGUGCUCUGACCAAGCUUCACAACAGUGACUCCAGAGUUUCCACCGGUAAUAUUCCUAUCCACCUGGUCAUUUUUCCCAGGGGCUUGAGUUUCAUGGAAGAAAAUGCAGCAGCGCAAGAGGUUUCCUAGCAGUUCCUGUACAUAGGAACAAUUCCUGUAUGCAGGAACUGCUGGAAUUCUCUUGCUGAUUUUAUUGUACGUUUCUUUUCAAUCAGCAUCUCAUUGGCAAUCUGUAAUGUCAAGAGCAGCAGCAAUUUUCUUUCUUCGGUUCUCCCAAAGUAGAAUGUAUGUCUUUUUCAUUUUUACUACUUUUUUUCAGUAUCAGUCCUUUUACAGAGCACUGUUCCCAUGCCACCCUUUCAUCUCUCCGUCUAGACUGAUGAUUAAACCAUUUGUCAUAGUUGUUCUCGCUCCCAUUUCAGUGCAACUGAAACAACAAGCAUAUUGACCAAAGAAGGCUGAUCUAGUAGACUUAGAACACUUCAUCUCAAAAAACAUGAAAAAAUAUUAGAUAGCAUUGCCCUUCCAAUCUGUUUCAUCUUUUCUCCAGCCAUAGGUUACACUGUACUCUAGAAUUCCACUUUCUUCCUCUCCUAGAAAUUAAGUGCCUGUCAGAUUUCUGCCAUUUCCAAAUGCAGCUCAGCUUAACAUAUCAAAACCAUUUUCUAAAGUCAUUCUUACAGAUUCUGCAGAUGUUUGAUGCAGAACAAGCAGCUAAGGCGAGGCUUUUCCUAUGGUAUGACCACUCUAGACAUCCCUCUACUGUUACCAGCAACUCUACUGUUGACAUUAGAGUUUCUUUGAAGAUUAUUUAUACAAGGCAAAUUUGCAGAGUAGACCAUUUUUGGACAAGGAAUGCAGAGCUGUAAAAGGUCUUCUAGGUCUCUGAACACGAUCCCCUGCUAUUACAGACACCAUAUUAUCCAAUUUCCCAUCAUGAACUUACUGCAUCAUGAAGCAAAGUCAGGUUUCAGUACUUCUCGCAGAGGAAGAUCAUUCCAGAACCCAGUCACUGCAGAUAAACUUCAUAUUCUUUGGGUCUUCUCUUGUACAAGAGACUAGUCCUAUCCUUCCCUGCAAUUGGAGCACUCACUAGUGUUUUAUAUCAAAGAAGGAAUAUUUAUUGUAUCUACAGGAAAUGGAUAUCCUAAUACCUGCCUUUUUCACAACCGCUUUAUAUUAACUGCCCAUGGUGACCUCAUGACUGACCUAUACCUGAGCCGCUAUCCCACAUGGCUCACAUUUCAUUGUGGAGGGUUUUGUUCUUUCUCCUAAUUGCAAGAGUACGCGUUUUACAGCUCUGAAUUUCCUCCUGUUUCUUUUACUUCAUCCCUGUGGACAACAGUUCUUUUUCUCUUGCCUUAGAGGAACACUGAUUUCUCCAUCCUUGUCAAAAUCCUCCCCCACAGGAUGUUUCAAGCAAAGGCUUUCUUUGUUUGAGGGAAGAGGCAGAAUAUUUUGGUAAUCAGAAAUCCAAAUAAACGAUGCUUCCUGGACAGGAGCCAAGGGAAAGCUGCGUAGAAACAUUCUAUUCACAGAGUUGAAAUGGAUUACCAUCAGGACUGUACAAAUGAAAAUACAUGCUCAUGUCACUGCUCCUUCUAAGUGCAGGUGUGAGCAGGCAUGUGUGGAGGAUUCACUGCGCGCAGUGUAAGCUCCCUAAGCAUACAUACCGCUGCUUUGCCAUCUCUGGACUGGGAGCUGCAUAUCACUGUUACAGACAGUCCAUCAGUCAGGUUUACUUUUACUCAACCCUGCAGUGGACAUGCAAUUAUGUCACCAGUAUGCUUGGCAGCUAUAGCCAGCUCCUCUAGGUAGUGACUAGUCAGAAAGAUAACAUUUCAAGCAAGAGAAACGAUGCAUCUCGCUGCUCCUAGCUGCACACAUUACUCUCAUCUAUAAAUGUGGUCAUUUCCUGAGGCAAAACUUCCAGUUUCCCAUUCUCUUUGCUCCCCUUCUUCACCUGAAUCACAAUCCAGUUCCUCACUAUUUGGUAACCAAGUAGCAGAUGGCUGGACUACAAUUAGACAUACAUACAUGGUACCACCUGCUAGAUACAUUUUUUUUGUUCACACUGGAACAGCUGUUAGUCUCAAAUUUUGCGAAUUCAGAGUGAAGGAGAAGAGUGAUUUUUUAAUUAUUUUUUGGCAGAUGCUUUAAUUCUUCUGCAGGGUAUGUUGGCACAAACUCAGAAAAAAUAGGAUAAUAGCUGAACAUAAUGUUUUACAAUAGUUUUGCCAGUCAAAUAGCAGACAUUUAAUAAGUUAACUUAACUUAAGGAGUCCCUCAACCAAGUGACGUGGGGCCUCAGCCACGUACAUCUAUUUUUUUUUUUUAAUAAAGAAUCUUCUUCUAUUUUUAGCAACACAAAGUAAGCUAAACUAUUUAAAAUUUCAUAAGGCGAUGUAUAGGAUAUAAAGCAAUAAAGCAGUCAAUGCAUCAGAAACCUCCCAAAAGAUAAGGCAGAAAGUGUUAUCACUUUGUCUUUAAUACCUCAUUUAAAAACGAGGGAGACAAAGAAACAUUUACAGUGCAUCACUUCCAUGUUUUCCAGCUCACUGAUCCGUAAGUCAGUCCUUGAACCUACCAAUAACACAGCAUAAUUUUCUCAGAGGCAUUGAUACAGAUGAACUUAAUUUUAGCAUGGUGUAGCAGGCGUGGUGGUGAUGGGUUGACAGCUGAACUAGAUCAUCUUAGAGGUCUUUUCCAGCCUUAAUGAUUCUGUUAAAAAGCACAGAGCUGACAGUUCUUACUGAAGUAAUGGCUCUUCCUCCUUGAGAAGACAGGGAAUUUCCUGCUUGACCAACCUCAUCUCCUUCUGUGACUGAGUGACCCACCUGGUGGAUGAGGGAAAGGCUGUGGUCACAGUCUACCUCGGCUUUAGCAAAGCCCAGAGAGUGGUGAUGAAUGGAGUUAAAUCCAGCUGGCAGCCAGUUGCAAGUGGUGUUCCCCAGGGGUUGGUAUUGGGGCCCAUCCUAUUUAAUACCUUUCCUGACAAUCUGGAUGAGUGCACCACCAGUAAGUUUGCAGAUAACACCAAGCGGGGGGAAGUGUUGUCUGCCUGAGGGUAGGAAGGCCAUACAGAGGGAUCUGGAUAGGCUGGAUCAAUGGACUCUAUUAAUGUUCAGGCUUACUUGAAGCAUAUGAGCUGGGCUACAGGUAGCAGAAUCCAGUUUACAUUGGUGUUAAGGUUGCCACAAAAACUUGAGCUGAUCACUGUUGACAUGGUUCCCACUAACAAAUACAAACACAGCGUGCCUUACUUCCCUGGAGUUGUUAUUCUUAGUGAUUGCUUUCCCCUCAAAGACUCUGCAUUUAAAAACCAAGUCCAAAUGAACAUUGCUGCUUCUAGAAGUGGCUGUACUUCAGUGCUGGAUAGAUAGAAACUUACUAUUACCUCACUGAAUUGCUGGGCAGGAGUACCGUCUCAGCACACAAGAAACACCUGCAAUAUCUGACUGAGAGCCAGGAAAGGAUUUGGAAUUGAGACUGGUAGGCACUGCUGCCCUGUAGCCAAGUUCUCUGAGGCAGAAUAAAUUUCCUCACAAAACUACGAAGUUGUAACUAACUCCCUCCACAGUCACUAAUGCCUUGAUAAUCUAAUGCCUUACUCUCCCUUUCUUCUUUUUUCCCUCUUGUCUAAUAGCUUUGCUAUUUCUAACCAUAACCAGUUUGUAGCUCCUUUCCCCUGCAAUCCCCACCACUGCACACCUCCAGCCACAGAUGCACUUCUUUUAGAGCAUUUCCACCCAGCAGAGCACUUGGGACAGGCUGCCUCUGUGCCACACUGCUGGGGCCUCCUCACCACGGCAGGACAGGGUGGGCUGCACAGUGUGAGGGUUUGGCCCCGGGUGGACUCUAAGCUGUGUGGGAUUUCUGUUCUGCUACAGAAACGUUUCCAUGGGUGUCCAACCUCCAACCUUUAGGCUGGCUUAGGCCACACUGAGUGAAGAAAAAGAGUCUUGGGCCACAUAUGAAAGAGAUAGUAUGGUUAACAUAUGUACGUAGUAAAACUUAUUUUUUAUUAAAGCAUAAAAAAAAGAGGGUAACAAAAACAUAGAACAAGCAGGUUGGACACAUAUGCUUUAGGCCAUGAUGAGAAGUGCCUAUGCUUAUUGUCAAGGAGGCAAGGUGUAAAGCAACUGUGUAGUGCCAAAGUUGCAGAUGCAUUUAGGGAUGUAGGCAGAUGCACGAUUGACUUGAGAUUUUAGAGAGCAUCUAAGAUGUGGCUUGCAUUUGUAGCUCAGGUGCUCUUACUCUCUGCUAGAUACCUACCUGCAUUCUCGGGAAGUUUGCCAACUUGGCCCCUUAUCAGCAGCUCAGCCAUCUCUAUGGUCUACAGCAAAACAUAUAUUGAUUUCAUCUGCAUGCCAUGCCCAGUCAACCAGCUGUCUCCAAUCAGAGGCACACCUCAUACAACCCCCUUUAGCUCUGAGUUCCACAAGUUAUGGAACCAUCAUUGCUUACUGAAGUGAUACCACAUCCCAACUAGUCAAUGCCAAUUCCAACCACUGACCAGGAAGUAUGCAAAGCCACAAGGUUCCCAGCAGCAUACCUUGGCCCCCUUGGUAUGCCAGCAGCACAGCCUUCGGUGUCUCAUCAUUCAGCUCUGUGUUUGCAUGCAUAGCCUCUGGUGACUUGGGAAGAGAUUGAAAGGGGCUGUCUCUGUCAAAGCUGCUUACUCUACUACUGUGCCAUGUCCUGCCCGUAAAGGGAGGGAAGAGGUGACUAGAUUUACAACUGACAAAUGUUAGUGUCGUUUUCUACAUAUCUCCUCAUUAAAUUCUAGUCAAGAAAUUGAUUAUUGACAUGGACCAUCGCAGAGAUGAACUAGAAUUGAAAACUUUGUAGAGAAAUUACAAGUUAUUCUAUUGAUCAGCGCUAAUACAUUUUUCAUUUUUUAAUUCCCAUUAAUCUUAGUGAAACGUAACAUCCUGGAAUCCCAUUUCCCCCACUAACACUAGUCCUACACACAUCCAGAGAAUCCUUUAUUUUCUUCAAACACCUGCAGCAUUGUAAUUAUAACCUUUCCCACCCCUAAGAACAAUAUUUUUUCCCUCCAUUUGGUUUGUUCUUGAAAUUGGACAUAUGGCUUUUUGGCACUGUGUUUUUGCUUUUUUGGGGUAGUUGAAAAGCAAGUCACAUUGAAGCACUGAAGACCUAAUGUACAACCUGUUCCAUGGGAUGGAGAAUGAAGCAGUACGUCAUCUAAGAUGGCCGUAUGAAGGCACACUACCUACUUUUCAACAAAAAAAGAAAUAGCAAUCCCUCCUUGUUUAAUGAGGCAGGCUACCUCGUGCAAGGGUUGAGUCCUUGCUGCAUGUCACUCAAUUUUCUGGCACUCAUUAAAACACUCAGAUGAGGACUGCAUGUACGCCUUGCUUCCUGAGAAGUGUUAUUUUCUUACUUCAGAAUCAUUCUCCAUUUUCCUAGUACUGCCUCAAUGCGAGAGCACUAAGAUCAUGCAAAAAGGUACGUUCCCCCCUUCCAUGUUGCUCCUAUUAGCUCCCAAGAGCUUGCAGUCUCAGCUUUGGGGAGCUUUCAGCCAAGGGAGAGCACGUCACAAAGUCAGCUCUGUUGCUGCAGGAGAGAAACUCUCUUUUCCCUGUGUAGUUAAGGAAUAUUUAACCACUUCAAUUUUAUGACCAUAAAUGAACGUGAAGUAAAAUUCAUGUAGAACCAUUAGCGUAAAUUAGUUUUAGAAUAAAAUUGAAUUAAGUAAUUGAGGGCUACAAAACACUCCGGUGCAAGCUACAUAUCUAAUUUGCAUGGUAACUCUGGUUUGGCAAUUACACUCUAUUGAAAUAAUGCUGAAACCAUUCCUGAGGCAGAAUGGGCACCAGACAGCACUAUUAAAUGUAACACGUCGUAAUACUGCAACUGCCUGAUGACGUGAAAUGGUCCUGGCACGCCCAGCAGCACACAGCAUCACAUGGGUUGCAGUCCCUGGCUCUCUAAAAAUACGUGCCCUAACAGCUAAUUAAUCCCACGAAGCAGCUAUUGCUUCAGCACUGUGCCAUCCAUUUUUAAGACUCUCUAAGCACUUCCAUGAAGAGAGAGAGCUGAUGUCUGUCAGGCAAGGGGUCGGAUAUUAUCGUAUGUUAUGACCUUGGCUCAGCAGUACCUUAAGAGCUCUCUCUUAGCCAGAAAAACAGGGCUGUGCAUCACCACUUCACGAUGUACUUUCUUGUUGUUAGGAAAGCAAGGCUACAAGGCUCACAAGCAAGCCAUGGCAAGGCCUAAUCCUCCCCACAGAAUUCAACGUGAUUUGUGCCGUCAGCUUCCCUGGGUGGAGGAUGCAUCCAUAAAGAAUGGAUUUUUCAGAUACUAAGUGCAGAUAUGCAAAUAAGCAGGACUCAUGCUGAUUUCCAAAACCAAGAGCCUACCAGGUAAGAAUUACAUCUAGAAAACUGUUCCUUACCUGUUGAAAUGUUUUUUCCAUCAAGAAAAAGGUUACCAUUAUAUCAGCCUAGCUGAUUUUACUUUUUCAUUAUUGCCACACUAAUAACUCAACUACAAUACUGUUUCAGAGACAUUCAGUCUUUAUUGUAGCUGCUGAAUCUGAGCAUUGAAAAAGAAGAAGAGAAAAAAAAAAGGGACAUACAGUGCUUUAUUCAAGUGGUAGAGAAAAAAAACAACGAAAAGGAAUCAUGACUGGCAGGAAAAGGUCAUAAAGGUGCUAAUAGUUACUGAAAAUCUGGGAGGGAAUACAUGUAAGAAAGUGGACCUCAUGGCAUUAUAACAUGUAGAUCCAUUCAAAACAUAUUUAAUUACAUGGAUUGGUUAUCUGCAGACAAUGAGCGUGGUAUACUGUAGCAUUUGUCAUUCUCCAAGGCAUGAUAUGUCAUAAUUGUGUCAUUCCCCAAGGCAUAAUAGCAAGGAAGAUUUCUGCAUGCCAACAUUCUACCUAAAUCCAUGAAUAUUUGUCUUCUAUAGAGGUGGCUGCAUCUAAAAUUGUGCAAAUAAAUUUGAUUUGUCAACCUGUGUUGUAUUUAAACAUUUGGAAGAAUCUGCAGACUGGACUCCUGCAGAGAAAUCCAGAUCUCUGGCCAGUCUGGGGCCACGAAAGAGACCACACUUCUGCACAAGGGAAGAAUAUUCCAUCAUAUAAAGCCUGGAAGACAGAAAUAGUUGGAUGUGAGCCACGGGAGAAACUUAUCCACUGGAUUCAGCAACAAUUGGAGACAUUAUUGCAGUUCUUUCUGGAUAGAACUAUGGAAAAGUAAAAGCAACACUUCUUAAUGCGAUUAUUCAUAGAUCAUCUUUAUCCUGCACUUCCUCCCAUGAUUGAGACUUGGCUGCUCCCAGGUCCUUUCACAAAGCUUCACAACUUAUGCAGGAGCCUUCUCUACAACCUGGAAAAAAUUCUCCUGCAUUUCUGCAUCUCACCACUUCUUCUGUCGUCAGACUUCAUAAACAUUCGCAGAUUGCUGCUCUGCUGGCACAACCAGGUUUUCCCUCAGUUGUUCUACUAAUAUUUUCUGUUUCAUUCCAAGUACUUCCCCUACCCGUGUCUGCCAUAAUUCGUAACAUUUUCACUUGAAGGGUUGGCUUCUUUUUUGUUUAGAAAGAUCAGAUUUGCAUAAAACUGCUAGUGAAUGAUUGUACACACUUAAUUUGGAAGGCUCAGUAAAUGCAAGUUAAUGACCAGAGCUGGCUCCAGACUUCUUAUCAGCAUAAACAAACUAAGUUUUCUGCCUGAGGAUGAAGAAUCUAGGUUACACUCAGAGCUAGCUGCUUCUGUCACAGGCAAGUGACUAAGAUGAGAGGCCUGUGUGCCCCCUGUUUUCCAGAAGUAGCUGCUGUUUUAUUCAUUCUCUUCCUCCCUCCUGGCAGCAGUAGCAGUCAGCCUGGCUUCUUGUGCUCUGCCAACACCCAUCUUGGCAUCCCUAUUGCUGCUUUCUUCGCCUGUGCCUAGAGCCAGCUCUGCCAAGCACCAGAUUAACCACACUCAAAAAUAAGAAUUCCAAACAACUCUGCCUAUGCUUUCUGCCUAUAAAUAUCUGAUGAGACGAAGUUACAUUCAUCAGUCAAAAAAUCUUGCCUGCAAGCUUGAAAUAAGAAAUUCUGUACAUCUUUAUAUCCAGUAUGUGCCAGGAUCCAUCUCACCAGGAUUUUAAUUCUUACAUCUAGAGCACUAUGUUCAAAAACCCUCCACCCAAGCUGCCAAGGACAAUGCUAUUAAUCACAUUUCCGAUAAAUUGAGGAGGUAGGCGUGUACACACAUUUGCACAGAUGCUUAUUGCAUCCAAAAGAGAAUGGGCUUGUUUUAUGCUUUAUCUGUUUGAUCAAUUGUUGCAAAGGGAGUUGAAAAAAAAUACAAAAUACGAAGCCAGAUAUAUACAACGCAGGGUAUAGAAUGGUAUGUAAGGGCUAAAGUUUGUGCCAAGUUCCCACCACUGCACAUGCCCCAGCAAAGUGUGAGCUCAUGCUUCAAAAUUAUUGGAAGGUUUACUAUACUUGAACGACCCCACAGCAUACUUAUUCCUGAGCAUAAAGUGUGGUAGCACUCCUCUGCUCUUUCUUAAGAGCUGAAGAUGAAAUAAGUAACAGUCAGCAUUUCUAUGUGAGAUAUUCCAGCAAUGAAAGCAUCAGGGAUUUAACCAUACAAAACUUGUUCAGCUGAUACUUUUGCCAUCCUGUCAUUCCUCUUCUUCCAAUAUGAGGGUGGCAAGCACAUGGUACAACGCACCCACUCUGGAAGGAAUGCAAGGCUGCACUGAAACAGUAAAAUUUGCCCUUGAAGGAAUAAAUAUGAUCAAAGAAGAACAGACUAUCACAGAAGUUAAUACAAUAGCAAAAAAAAAAAAAAAAA